UACGAACAGUACAAACGUUAUUCGGAAUCAUUGGGCUUAAAGGGUACGUAGGCCGUGUCGUAAGUCAGGUGUGAAAUCCCUCGGCUCAACUGAGGAACUGCGUCCGAAACUGCGGUGCUUGAGGGCUGCAGGGGAGAGCGGAACUGAUAGUGGAGCGGUGAAAUGCGUUGAGAUUUGGAGGAACACCAGUGGCGAAGGCGGCUUUCUGGAUAGUAUCUGACGCUGAGGCGCGAAAGCGUGGGGAGCGAACAGG
rnacentral:rRNA from 1 species